GAGGGUAUAGCUCAAGUGGUAGAGCACAUGCUUAGCACGCAUGAGGUCCUGGGUUCAAUCCCCAGUACCUCCA
rnacentral:tRNA from 1 species